rnacentral:lncRNA from 1 species
CAUUGCCGCCAUAGUGUCGCUAUGCUGUCACCAGCAUGUCGUGACGCUGCCACCAUCAUGUCGUGACACUGCCACCAUCGUGUCGGCACGCCGUCACCAGGCUGUCACUGCUUUUGUCCCCGCAGUGCCACCACCAUGUCGUGACAUUGUCACCAUCUUGAUACCACGCUGUCACCAUCAUGUCGUGACACUGCCACCAUUGUGUCGCCAUGCUGUCACCAGCAUGUCAUGACAUUGUCACCAUCUUGUCACCAAGUUGUCCCCAACUUGUCACCAUGUUGUCCCCAACUUGUCACCUCCUCUUCUCACCGCAUCCCGGUGUCACCGCCGUGUCCCGGAGUUGUCACCGUGUUGUCACCAUCGUGUCACCGCGUUGUCAGCCAGGGGUUGGGGUGGACAGGGACAUGGGGACACGGGGGAGGGGGGACGUGGGGACAUCGGGGACAAUGGGGACAUUGGGGUGUUGGGGACACAGGAGAUGGGUUGGGGACAUUGGAGGGUUGGGGACAUUGGGGACAAUGGGGUGUUGGGGACACAGGGGAGGUUUGGGGACAUUGGGGACACUGGGGACAAUGGGGUGUUGGGGACAUUGGGGACAUGGGGAGGGUUGGGGACAUUGGGGACAUUGGGGACAAUGGGGUGUUGGGGACAUUGGGGAUGGGUUGGGGACAUUGGGGACAAUGACGGGUUGGGGACAUUGGGGACAUUGGGGACAUUGGGGACAAUGGGGAGUUGGGGACAUUGGGGACAUUGGGGUCAUUGGGGUCAAUGGGGGAAAUGCGGUCAAUGGGGACAAUGGGGACAAUUGGGUUAAUGGGGGCAUUGGGGUUAAUGGGGACAUCGGGGACAUUGGGAUGAAUGAGGACAUUGGGGUCAAUGGGGACAAUGGGGGAAAUGGGGUCAAUGAGGGAAAUGGGGUCAAUGGGGACAUCAGGGUCAAUGGGGACAUUGGGAUGAAUGAGGACAUUGGGGUCAGUGGGGUCAAUGGGGUCAAUGGGGACAUUGGGGGCAAUGGGGGAAAUGGGGUCAAUGGAGGCAUUGGGGGCAUUGCGGUCAAUGGGGACAUUGGGGGAAAUGGGGACAU